GUGAACCUGCGGAAGGAUCAUUACACAAUAAAAUAUGAAGGCUGUACGCGGCUGUGCUCUCGGGCCAGUUUUGCAGAGGCUGAAUUAUUUAGCGGCUGGACUAUUUAUUACCCUUCUCUUUUGCGCACUUGUUGUUUCCUGGGCGGGUUCGCUCGCCACCAGGACCACAUCAUAAACCUUUUUUAUGCAGUUGCAAUCAGCGUCAGUAUAACAAAUGUAAAUCAUUUACAACUUUCAACAACGGAUCUCUUGGUUCUGGCAUCGAUGAAGAACGCAGCGAAAUGCGAUACGUAGUGUGAAUUGCAGAAUUCAGUGAAUCAUCGAAUCUUUGAACGCACAUUGCGCCCUUUGGUAUUCCAAAGGGCAUGCCUGUUCGAGCGUCAUUUGUACCCUCAAGCUUUGCUUGGUGUUGGGCGUUUUUGUCUUUGGGUUGCCAAAGACUCGCCUUAAAAGGAUUGGCAGCCGGCCUACUGGUUUCGCAGCGCAGCACAUUUUUGCGCUUGCAAUCAGCAAAAGAGGACGGCAAUCCAUCAAGACUCCUUCUCACGUUUGACCUCGGAUCAGGUAGGGAUACCCGCUGAACUUAAGCAUAUCAAUAAGCUGAGGAAAAGAAAC
rnacentral:rRNA from 1 species